AGUAAGUACAGCCAUAAUCAAAGUAGGCUACUCUCUCAAUAUUUCAAGUGCAAAUAGAGACCAAAUUUUUCAAACAUCAUACAGAGCUAUAGACAACUACACAAUCUAUUAUAGCCUACAUACUAAUAACAGCCUAAAUAUGUAGACUACUUUGCGCACAUCAGGGAGUCGCUCUCAAAACGCGGGUAUUAAAAUCGUUUUUGAAUGCACGUCAAGUCAAGAUUAUUUAUAUAUGGCUACCGCUUUUUACAAUGCAAAUUGUGUCAAAGCAGCUUUACAGUAUUAAACGGGGAAAUAGUGUGUCGAACGAGUGUCGUUCUCCUCUGGCCAAACGCAACCAGCAGUUUAAUUCUAGGCUGCAGCAAAGUCAGAUUGUGCAGAGGACUCAUCUUCCCGUGGUCCUGUCCCGCUGGCCGUCAAGGCGCAACAUGCAUUCUACAAUACAAGACAUUAAUUUUGUCAGAUGCUCUGCAACAAAUCCUCCUUUAAUGUUUCUUAUGGGCCAGUGAGGGUCUUUUUUUUUGGUUCGCACUGAAGUAAAUUUAAAAUAAUAAAAAAAUAGUCUGGCCAAUCCGAGGCCCCUGCACACGUGGACACAAGCUUGUGCGUUUUAAUUCGUGCUUGCUCACUUGGUAGCUUUAAGAUGUGGAAAUUUUUGCAGAAUAGUCUCGCACCCUGCUCAGGUCCUGCUAUUAAGCACAUACAAACAGAAAAACAAUGUCUCAUCACUGAAGUAACGGCGUAAUCAGUGUAGCUCGCAGCCCUCUCUGUUGGUGAAAAUAAUCACUGGUGAUCGGACUUUCUUGCAAUGUAUUUGAGAGCUGUUUAGAACGUGUUGUAAAACGGGGGCAUUUCCGUGGACAGCCAACGUUACAGUGGGGGUCAAGAAGACCCCAAAUAACGGGACUGUCUCCGAAAAUGGUCACACUUACGCAGGUUAAACUAAAAUGGAUAGUAAGCUCAUAUUUGAUGGGAAAAGUAACUAACCGGUAUUUUGGGUGUCUUGUUCAACAAUUUUUUCAUAUAAAAGCAACAGAAUUUAGAUCACAUCCGAUUUAUUAGCCACAAAGCACCGUACCCUUCGACCGCAGCCGCCUGCUCUCGUCUUGCAAAGCUAAAUUCAUAGUAUGCUUCCUAAAUACACAAUUAAAGUGAAAACAGCUACAAUGGCACAAUCAUCGAAUUAACAUUCUCCCCUUUCCCCCUCAAAACUAGCAUAAACACAACUAGCAUUUCCUCAAUAAGUGCAAAGUAACUUGAACAAAAUAAAGUGAAACUUGAGAGAGGGGUGGUCAGUGUAUAUUGUUAUGCGAUUUGUUCUUAUAUGCGAUUCAAAAGAAUGCCAGUAUUGCAAAAGCAAAAUACAUAAAAACAAGAAAACAAAACCCAGUAAAAGAAUGCCAUAAAAGCAAUUUGCACUCGCAGAUGGAAUUAUGUUGAGCUACACAUCAGCUGAGCAUGUCUGAAAGGCUUCAAAACCAUGUCUUUGGACAGUUGCAUAUUUAAUUUAAAAAUUGUUCCAUUGACAUUUCUACAUUCACAAGAUGCUAAAUCUAUAGGUGCUGAGUUCUGCUGUAGUUUGAUCAGCUGAGAGCAGAUCUGCAGAAACAUUUUACUUCUCCCACACAAGUCAAUUUGAUCAAACACUUUGUUACAACCUCA